UACAGAGGGUGCGAGCGUUAAUCGGAAUUACUGGGCGUAAAGCGCACGUAGGCGGCUUGGUAUGUCGGGUGUGAAAUCCCCUGGCUCAACCUGGGAACUGCAUCCGAAACUGCCUUGCUCGAGUAUGGGAGAGGGAAGUGGAAUUUCCGGUGUAGCGGUGAAAUGCGUAGAUAUCGGAAGGAACAUCAGUGGCGAAGGCGACUUCCUGGACCAAUACUGACGCUCAGGUGCGAAAGCGUGGGGAGCAAACAGG
rnacentral:rRNA from 1 species